AGCGGCGGACGGGUGAGUAACGCGUGGGAACAUACCCUUUGGUACGGAAUAGCCUCGGGAAACUGGGAGUAAUACCGUAUGUGCCCUUCGGGGGAAAGAUUUAUCGCCAAAGGAUUGGCCCGCGUCCGAUUAGCUAGUUGGUGGGGUAACGGCUCACCAAGGCAACGAUCGGUAGCCGGCCUGAGAGGGCGGACGGCCACACUGGGACUGAGACACGGCCCAGACUCC
rnacentral:rRNA from 1 species